rnacentral:tRNA from 1 species
UCUAACGUGGCAGAUAAGUGCAUUGGAUUUAAGCUCCACAAAUAAAGUGUCCCAGGCUUUCCUUAGAA